rnacentral:rRNA from 1 species
AAAACGACUCUCGGCAACGGAUAUCUCGGCUCUCGCAUCGAUGAAGAACGUAGCGAAAUGCGAUACUUGGUGUGAAUUGCAGAAUCCCGUGAACCAUCGAGUCUUUGAACGCAAGUUGCGCCCCGAGCCGUUAGGCCGAGGGCACGCCUGCCUGGGUGUCAC